rnacentral:rRNA from 1 species
UUAGUUGGGGACUCAUAGGAGACUGCCGGUGAUAAACCGGAGGAAGGUGGGGACGACGUCAAGUCAUCAUGCCCCUUAUGUCCAGGGCUGCACGCAUGCUACAAUGGCAAGUACAACGAGUCGCAAUACCGCGAGGUGGAGCAAAUCUCUUAAAGCUUGUCUCAGUUCGGAUAGGAGUCUGCAACUCGACUCCUUGAAGUUGGAGUCGCUAGUAAUCGCAAAUCAGCAAAGUUGCGGUGAAUACGUUCUCGGGGUUUGUACACACCGCCCGU